rnacentral:misc_RNA from 1 species
AAGUCGUAACAAGGUCUCCGUAGGUGAACCUGCGGAGGGAUCAUUAACAUAUACACAUAUCAUAUGAGCGUGUCAUAGUGGGUAGAAUUACACUAUGCAUCUCAUAUGCAUCACACCCUUGAACCUAUAUGUUUACACAUAUACCCACACUGGGUAGUUCAGUAGGGUCCGGUCUCUCUUAUGUGAGCCGGCUCUGAAGAGCUAUCUCCCCAUUUCUCCCAUUUUUUUGGGUUCCAUUUUUUCACCUCUCAUACUAUCUCUAUUACAUUGACCCAUGCAUAUAGCAUAGGGUCUUAUGAUAUAAUAUAUAUUUAUCACUCCUAGCAAUGGAUAUCUUGGUUCUC